GUUAUAGGAAGCUACAGGCAGGUGAGUUUUAAUUAGGUUUGGAGCUGAACUCUGUGGCUCUCCAGGACCAACGUUCACCACCCCAGAUAUUAUGUGUGACCCCAGGAGCACAAGCAGCCACAAGUAGCACAGGUAUAUUUGUAGCAAUAGCCAACAAUGCAUUGUAUGGAUCAAUGGUCGAUUUUCUUUUAUUGCAAAAAUCAUUGGGAUAUUAAGUAAAGAUCAUGUUCCAUGAAGAUUGUUAAUUUCCUACUUCAAUGUAUCAACUUAUAAGUAAUGUGCAUUACGAAGAUCUUCAUUUGGACAACUUUUAAAGGUGAUUUCUCAUUUUGUUAUUUUUGCACCCUAAGCUCCCAGGUUUUCAAAUAGUUGUAUCCCAGUUAACUCGGCUUAUUUAGCAUUCAGAUGUAUAAAUCUCAAAUUUACCCUUUAUGAUUUUAUGACUUUUUUUUUUUUUUUUUUUUUUUUUUUUUUUUUUUUUUAAAUCCAGACGUUUAAGCAAUCAGACAAGAAGAGAAUUCAGGUCAUCUAUACUCCUCAAACCUCAUGUGGCGUCAUUCUGAAAAACGGCGAGUACCUGCUGUCAGGACAUGUCCAGGACUGCAGGGUUGUUGUCAAUUUAUGUGACCUUGUGAAGCCUUGGAACAAACUCUCCCAAGUUCAAAAGGUGUCCCUCAGCAUGUAUCAGAGAGGCUGUGUCUGUGAGGUAAUCCAAAUCAUACUUUUACAAUUGACCGUAGUCUAACUUAUUCCGAGUUCAGUGCUGUUGAAAUCCAUUGACUUUUCACCCCAACUAAAUUUUUUUUUUUGCCAUUUUUGAAUUGUUAAACACUUACUCAAACUCUGGCUUAAAUCAUUUUCAGAAUCUUUUAUAAAGCAGUUUAAUGCAAAAAUAACAAUGCUGAGUGUAUAAAUGUAUGCAUAUUAUGAUUAAACUUGCUUGGUAGAGAAGGACCAAACUGUGGACCUUUUAUUUAAAAAAAAAAAAAAAGGUCUGCACAAAAAGGUCCGAAACCAGCCCCCGAAAAAAAAGUAUUAAAACAGUUGCUGUGUUAUAAAUAUAGAUAUGAAUUCAGUCAUCUCUCAAACUGUGAUCUCUACAGAUCUCACCUUGUACUGGAGCGUCCUGUUUGAUUGAGAUUCUUCAGAAAAAAUGUCUGAUAAGAGUCACUUCAUCCGGUCUUGAUAAAAAGGCUCUUCAGUCUAUUUGCCUGCCAGGCAGGGGUGGCUUCUGCAGUUGGCAACAAAUUCCUGACAAAAAACUACAAAUGCUCCUAAAAAUGAUGCCCUGAAGAACAAGUGCAUCAGCCAUUCAGCAGUGUGCAUUUUUGCCCUUUUGUUCUCCAGAAUGCUUAGAACACUUUGAAGUUAAUUUAAACAAUUUAAUGAAGCUUUGCAAUGCAUUCAGCGAAUACAUAAAUACUUUUCAUGGAGAUAUGCAAUCAACCAUUAAACUAUUUUGCAAGUAAAAGCAUCUGUGUGUAUUUAAUGGGAAAUGUAAGCAUGUUUAUAUAAUUAUAUAAAUAUGGAUGUUCUUGGUGUCAGAAGCAUUCAUCUAGGUGGGUUGUUUUUUUUUUUUUUUUUUUUUUUUUUUUGUGUAAUCUUAGUUUAAAUUUCGUUUUUNUUUUUUUUUUUUUUCUCUAUUCUGAUGAACAUUGAGUUAAAGUAUGGUGUAAUUUAACCUCUUAACGGUCACCCGUCCCCUCUGUGGGAUGCCGGUUUACGUGUGUGUGUGUAUAUAUCUA
ensembl:lncRNA